ACUGAUGCUACACAGACAUAAAAAUCCCCUCCCCUAACUUCUCUCUUCGUCUUGGAAGCCAUUUUCUCGCCUCAUCUUUGCUCCGAUCUUCUCGUUUUUUUCUUCUGGGUUUUUAUCUCUAUAUAUUUCCGGUUGUUGGGUCGUUUGAUUUCUCCAUUUUUCACCUUGAAAAAUGGAGAGGGAUUUUAUGGGUUUGAAUUCUAGAGCUACAGUCGUCAAGGAGGAAGCUCUCAAAGAACCAGUGUUUUCGAUAAGCUCGGAUGUUCGAUGGCCUUUCUCAAAUGGUUUCGAAGCCUUUAACAACCACCAAUUGGGUGAAAUUCAGAGUGCGAAUUUUCUACAACUUCACCAUGAUACCAAGCAAGCAGUUCCGGUUAGCAUGAGUAGUCCUUUCUUUAGGCACCAUCUUGCUGGUGCUUCUGUUAACCCACAGUUAUUUGGCGGAGUUCCUGUUAUGUCUCCUCAUCUGGUUCUUCCGUCUACUGGCUCCUUUUUUGCUCCUACAACUGAAUCAUGGGAUAGCUCCAAGGCUGCUUCUGCUUCGGCUCAACUAACCAUCUUUUAUGGAGGUAUGGUUAAUGUCUAUGAUGAUAUCUCCCCUGAGAAGGCUCAAGCUAUAAUGUUCUUAGCUGGGAAAGGGGCCUUCGUGGCAGCGGCUAAUGGACCACAGCCAAGGGGGCAGGCACCAACGAACCCUGCAGGAGAUGCAGUUUAUAUGAGCCAGCCAAUUAGCACACAACCCUGCUCAGCCGUCUCAAGCCCAAUGUCCGUGUCUUCACACCCUGUUCCUCAAUCGACUGCUAACAAAAGCGAAGCAGCUAAAAGAAUAGGAGGUUCAACCACUCCCGUCACACAAAUGGAUACUCCAAGAGUCAUGAGUUCGUUUAGACAAGCGAGGCAAUCAGUUUAAUGCGAGGACUUUGAACUAAGUUUAUACUGUGCAGCCGUUCCUCAAGCGCGCAAAGCAUCAUUGGCUCGGUUUCUUGAGAAGCGCAAGGAAAGGGUGAUGGCUUCAGUUCCUUACCGCCUCGGCAAGAACUCCAUCGGCUCUGUUGCCAACAGCACCGCUGUUAUAGCUGCAAGCGAGCAAAGGGUAUAAGCGGCAAUGCUGCAUUGCCUUUGAUUCCAUGUAACAAAAGUUGAAAUUUCUGCAAGUCAUUAGAUGUUGAUUAUAAUCUAAACUCAUUUUGAGAUGCCAAUAUAAAGAUCAUAUCAUAUCGCCGUUCUCUGUAACGAUAUGAACACCUGAUUAUGUUGUUUUAUAUCAAUUGCUAUCAGCCACUUUCC